CAGGCUUCGGUCAAAGACACAUGUUUUCUCUCUAGCUCCACGUGCGACUCACAUGUCUAUUCACCACGACACAAGAUAUAUGAGAGAAGCAGCCAGACGGAGGAAAUAUCUUCAUUUACAUAGAAAAUCAAAAAUAAAAUCCCAGAUGGCAAGAAGAGAAACGAACAUGUAAUCUUGCGAGAAAAGUAUUAAAAAUAACCGGUAACAAAUAUGGAUGCAUAAAGGCCCUCGGAUCAGAGAUAAAAUGUUUAUGAAGCAGAUUUUCUACAGCCAGAUGCUCUUCUUCUCAUCACCAACUCUCAUCUGAUUCUGAGCCUGGUAAUAUUUCCCCAUGACCAACUAUUGUUAGGGAAGAUGAAAUGGAGGACACCACAUGCAUGUCGGUGAUAUUCGUUUACAACAAUCACAUGAA